rfam:Hordeum vulgare subsp. vulgare, WGS project CAJW01000000 data, contig: morex_contig_1580931
UUGAUACUCCCUCUGUCCUAAAAUUCUUGUCUUAGAUUUNNNNNNAUAUGAAUGUAUCUAGUCAAGUUUUAAUAUUUAGAUACAUCUAUUUUUAGACAAAGUUAAGAAAAGAAUUUUGGGACGGAGGGAGGAGUUC